GCCAGCAGCCAUGUCACCCUGCAACUUACAAUUGGCAACCCACUGAAGCUCAGCAGGUGUGAGCCUGCUCAGUACCUGGAUGGGAGACCUCCUGGGAAAAACUAAGGUUGCUGUGU
rnacentral:rRNA from 1 species